rnacentral:rRNA from 1 species
GCGAACUGGGUGCCAGCGGGUGCGGUAAGACGUAGGUGGCAUGGGUUGUCCGGAAUGAUUGUGCGUAAAGGGCGGGCAUGCGGUCCUGUAAGUCUGAUGGGAAAGCCCACGGCUCAACCGUGGAGGGUCAUUGGAAACUGGGGGACUUGAGUGCAGAAGAGGAAAGCGGAAUUCCACGUGUAGCGGUGAAAUGCGUAGAGAUGUGGAGGAACACCAGUGGCGAAGGCGGCUUUCUGGUCUGUAACUGACGCUGAGGCGCGAAAGCGUGGGGAGCAAACAGGAUUAGAUACCCCUGUAGUC